CAGCAGCCGCGGGAAUACAGAGGGUGCGAGCGUUAAUCGGAUUUACUGGGCGUAAAGCGUGUGUAGGUUGUUGUUCAAGUCAGUUGUGAAAUCCCUGGGCUCAACCUGGGAACUGCUUCUGAGACUGAACGACUAGAGUACGGUAGAGGGUGGUGGAAUUUCCGGUGUAGCGGUGAAAUGCGUAGAUAUCGGAAGGAACAUCAAUGGCGAAGGCAGCCACCUGGGCCUGUACUGACACUGAGACACGAAAGCGUGGGGAUCAAACAGGAUUAGAUACCCCUGUAGUCCCUGUCUCUUAUAC
rnacentral:rRNA from 1 species